rnacentral:rRNA from 1 species
AUGGACCACCUAGAUAGUUGUGCUGGUUGUGUUUUCAGGGAACGAACUAUUGAACAAGCUGAAGAACUAUCGAAUAAUAUAUUGACGAAUGAUAAUGAUUGGACUCUUCCUGAACCACCACCCGAGCCAACUCCGAAGAAGAGAGGUGUUCUAUUUCUUAGUCCCAAAGAUAUGCAAGAGGCAAAGAAAUCUAUGAAAGAAAAAGGUAUUAAAGCUGAAGACACUUGUCGUGGUAUUCUCAUGAGGGUGCAAGACGACAGAUGCCACAAGGUGGCUUCAUGUGUGGGCAAGACUGCUGCCGGAAUAUCCAUAGACGGGUAUGCGAAUAGCACGCGCUAA